GGCGAAAGCCUGAUCCAGCCAUGCCGCGUGUGUGAAGAAGGUCUUCGGAUUGUAAAGCACUUUAAGUUGGGAGGAAGGGCAGUAAGCUAAUACCUUGCUGUUUUGACGUUACCGACAGAAUAAGCACCGGCUAACUCUGUGCCAGCAGCCGCGGUAAUACAGAGGGUGCAAGCGUUAAUCGGAUUUACUGGGCGUAAAGCGUGCGUAGGCGGCUUAUUAAGUCGGAUGUGAAAUCCCCGAGCUUAACUUGGGAAUUGCAUUCGAUACUGGUGAGCUAGAGUAUGGGAGAGGAUGGUAGAAUUCCAGGUGUAGCGGUGAAAUGCGUAGAGAUCUGGAGGAAUACCGAUGGCGAAGGCAGCCAUCUGGCCUAAUACUGACGCUGAGGUACGAAAGCAUGGGGAGCAAACAGGAUUAGAUACCCUGGUAGUCCAUGCCGUAAACGAUGUCUACUAGCCGUUGGGGCCUUUGAGGCUUUAGUGGCGCAGCUAACGCGAUAAGUAGACCGCCUGGGGAGU
rnacentral:rRNA from 1 species